rnacentral:guide_RNA from 1 species
AAUCAAUAUAAAUGAUAAGUUCACUGUAAGGAUAUGAUAGAA